rnacentral:rRNA from 1 species
UACGUAUGUCGCAAGCGUUAUCCGGAAUUAUUGGGCAUAAAGGGCAUCUAGGCGGCCAGAUAAGUCUGGGGUGAAAACUUGCGGCUCAACCGCAAGCCUGCCCUGGAAACUAUGUGGCUAGAGUACUGGAGAGGUGGACGGAACUGCACGAGUAGAGGUGAAAGUCGUAGAUAUGUGCAGGAAUGCCGAUGAUGAAGAUAGUUCACUGGACGGUAACUGACGCUGAAGUGCGAAAGCUAGGGGAGCAAACAGG